UACAGAGGGUGCGAGCGUUAAUCGGAAUUACUGGGCGUAAAGCGCGCGUAGGCGGCUUUGCAAGUCGGGUGUGAAAUCCCCAGGCUUAACCUGGGAACUGCAUUCGAGACUGCAUUGCUAGAGUAUGGGAGAGGGAAGUGGAAUUUCCGGUGUAGCGGUGAAAUGCGUAGAUAUGACACAGAACACCGAUUGCGAAGGCAGCUCACUAAAUUGUAACUGACGCUGAGGCACGAAAGCGUGGGGAUCAAACAGG
rnacentral:rRNA from 1 species